rnacentral:rRNA from 1 species
AUUGAACGCUGGCGGCAUGCUUUACACAUGCAAGUCGAACGGCAGCGGGGCUUCGGUCCGCCGGCGAGUGGCGAACGGGUGAGUAAUGCAUCGGAACGUGCCCAGUCGUGGGGGAUAACACAUCGAAAGAUGUGCUAAUACCGCAUACGUCCUGAGGGAGAAAGCGGGGGGAUCUUCGGACCUCGCGCGAUUGGAGCGGCCGAUGUCGGAUUAGCUAGUUGGUGGGUAAAGGCCCACCAAGGCGACGAUCCGUAGCGGGUCUGAGAGGAUGAUCCGCCACACUGGGACUGAGACACGGCCCAGACUCCUACGGGAGGCAGCAGUGGGGAAUUUUGGACAAUGGGGGCAACCCUGAUCCAGCCAUGCCG